rnacentral:rRNA from 1 species
CCUACGGGAUGCAUCCUUAGUUAAUCUUCCACAAUUUUCUAAAUCCUUAUUGAGCAACGCCUCGUGGGUGAAGAAGGUCUUCGGAUCGUAAAACCCUGUUGUUAGAGAAGAAAGUGCGUGAGAGUAACUGUUCACGUUUCGACGGUAUCUAACCAGAAAGCCACGGCUAACUACGUGCCAGCAGCCGCGGUAAUACGUAGGUGGCAAGCGUUAUCCGGAUUUAUUGGGCGUAAAGGGAACGCAGGCGGUCUUGUAAGUCUGAUGUGAAAGCCUUCGGCUUAACCGGAGUAGUGCAUUGGAAACUGGGAGACGUGAGUGCAGAAGAGGCGAGUGGAACUCCAUGUGUAGCGGUGAAAUGCGUAGAUAUAUGGAAGAACACCAGUGGCGAAAGCGGCUCUCUGGUCUGUAACUGACGCUGAGGUUCGAAAGCGUGGGUAGCAAACAGGAUUAGAUACCCCUGUAGUC